UACGGAGGGUGCGAGCGUUGUCCGGAAUCAUUGGGCGUAAAGGGCGCGUAGGUGGUUCUGUAUGUCUGCCGUGAAAGGGUACAGCUUAACUGUAGCUUGUCGGUAGAAACUGCAGGACUUGAGGCUGGGAGGGGCUGGUGGAAUUCCCUGUGUAGCGGUGAAAUGCGCAGAUAUCGGGAAGAACACCCGUGGCGAAGGCGGCUCACUGGACCAUAACUGACGCUGAGGCGCGAAAGCUAGGGGAGCAAACAGG
rnacentral:rRNA from 1 species